UACGGAGGGUGCGAGCGUUGUCCGGAAUCAUUGGGCGUAAAGGGCGCGUAGGUGGCCCGGUCAGUUCGUGGUGAAAGCGCGGGGCUCAACCCUGCGUCGGCCAUGAAUACUGCCGCGGCGUGGAGCACUGUAGAGGCAGGCGGAAUUCCGGGUGUAGCGGUGGAAUGCGUAGAGAUCCGGAAGAACACCGGUGGCGAAGGCGGCCU
rnacentral:rRNA from 1 species